CAAUAGCGUAUAUUUAAGUUGUUGCAGUUAAAAAGCUCGUAGUUGGAUUUCUGCCGAGGACGUCCGGUCCGCCCUCUGGGUGAGUACAUGGCACGGCCUGGGCAUCUUCUUGGGGAACGUAUCUGCACUUGACUGUGUGGUGCGGUAUCCAGGACUUUUACUUUGAGGAAAUUAGAGUGUUUCAAGCAGGCACACGCCUUGAAUACAUUAGCAUGGAAUAAUAAGAUAGGACCUCGGUUCUAUUUUGUUGGUUUCUAGAGCUGAGGUAAUGAUUAAUAGGGAUAGUUGGGGGCAUUCGUAUUUAACUGUCAGAGGUGAAAUUCUUGGACUUGUUAAAGACGGACUACUGCGAAAGCAUUUGCCAAGGAUGUUUUCAUUGA
rnacentral:rRNA from 1 species